CAUAUUGUUUGGAAACUCUACUGUGUUGUGACGUUUAUUUUGUAUGGAGAAAAUAAAAAUAAACAACAAUUGAGAAUAUGAAAGAUGAAAACAAUGCAGCAGUGUGAGAAAUAAAUUGAGAUGCAAGAAAUGGGUACAGGCUGUAGGCGUAGAGGACCUCACAAUAGAGAAAUAGAGAAGCAAUAGAGAAGCUCAAUGGGAUAUGCUACGUCUGUGGAUGCCACUUUACUCCCGAUCAAUUUUGUCAUCCCUCGAGGAAAAAACUGAAGAUGACAGCUGUCCCAUCACUGUUCGAUCCUCGAGUCAUUCCUCUGGCCGAUGAAUUGUUGGAGAAUUUUCCAAUCCUGAAUGUUCUGAAGAUUCCGAUUGAAGCUAAAAGAAUCCUGUUGACUCCCGAUUCCCCGACUUUGCCGCCUAAUUUGAAAAACAUCUGUAGGACCAACACUAACACAAAUGAUUUAAUAAAGCGAUUAGACUCUCUAUUUUACAGUUGUGAUGCACUGUUGGAAACUUAGACACCCCCCCCCCUUCGCAUCACCAUCACCAGGAUAGAGCUCUGUCCAAUGAUCUCCAAUUCGGGCAUCCAAUGUCCUGAUCACUUGUCGAAGGGUUACAGCAUCCCCAGCGCCUCGCAUCAGCAACGCCAGUACCCAUCUUUGUCCAGUAAACCCCACGGUCUUGUUUACUUAUUGAAGGUUUAGAGCACCCCUUUACUUCAUCAGCAACACCAGGAUUCAACUCAACCAAGAUGCAAUGGCCGUUCAUGCGAGGAUCCAAUGUCCUGAUCACCCGGCAAAGCCUUACAACAUCCCCAGUACCUCGCAUCAGCAACGCCAGUACCCAUCCUUGUCCAGUCAACCCCACUGUCUUGUUUACCUAUUGAAGGCUUACAGGACCCCCUGUACUUAAUCAGCAACACCAGAGUCCAGUUCAACCAAGAUGCAAUGACUCCCCAGCAACUCCCAACAUGACAAUAAUCUGCAACACUCGUGUAAAGAUUCCAGGAGAUACAUACGCCAAAGAUUAGCGAAGUCUCUACCACGUUAUGAAAAAACGAAGUUCAUCCUUGACAACUGUUCAGAACAAUUGGAUCCAGAAAUACAAGACUAUUCGAAACAAUGCUAUACUCGUCUUGAUACAGUUCUUCGUCAACUCUAGUAUAGCUAUACAGGAUUAUUUUGUGUGCAUGAAGAAACUGAUCAGGAGCCUGUUAUUAGUAACCCGGCUUACACAAGAUGCAAAGAGGGUCAUGAAGAAGUUAUCAUUAAUUCAUCAGACCAGAAGAGGCUGAAGAAGCUGAUGGGGAUUCUCAUCAUGAACUUUCGGACUGCGUUGUCUACUUUCAAUUUUAUGAUAUCAAUUUAUCGUAUCAAUAAGUUGUACGUUGAUUGUGAUUCUCUGUGUUAUAAAUGUCAUGUCAGGAUGAACCAGAAUAUCCCAUGUGAGGAAUAUUCUGCAAUAUUUAUAGCGUCUUAAAUAAGGCCAGUACUUUUGUUAUAUCUGUAAAUUUAUAUUCCGAUUGAUUUCAUUAUAAAUUUUGAGAUACUUGUUACUGUAUAGUUAUGUUACAUACUAUUUGGGUAUCAGUCCAGAGUUAAAGUUUCAUAAGUAUAUAAAUAGGUUUAUGAUGUUAUUCGUUUUAUUCUUUGAUAAUAAUAAUAAUAAUAGAUAAUAAUAAAUACGGAGUCAGGAACUUUA